GACGAACGCUGGCGGCGUGCCUAAUACAUGCAAGUAGAACGCUGAAGGAGGAGCUUGCUUCUCUGGAUGAGUUGCGAACGGGUGAGUAACGCGUAGGUAACCUGCCUGGUAGCGGGGGAUAACUAUUGGAAACGAUAGCUAAUACCGCAUAAGAGUAGAUGUCGCAUGACAUUUGCUUAAAAGGUGCAAUUGCAUCACUACCAGAUGGACCUGCGUUGUAUUAGCUAGUUGGUGAGGUAACGGCUCACCAAGGCAACGAUACAUAGCCGACCUGAGAGGGUGAUCGGCCACACUGGGACUGAGACACGGCCCAGACUCCUACGGGAGGCAGCAGUAGGGAAUCUUCGGCAAUGGACGGAAGUCUGACCGAGCAACGCCGCGUGAGUGAAGAAGGUUUUCGGAUCGUAAAGCUCUGUUGUAGAGAAGAACGAGUGUGAGAGUGGAAAGUUCACACUGUGACGGUAUCUUACCAGAAAGGGACGGCUAACUACGUG
rnacentral:rRNA from 1 species